rnacentral:lncRNA from 1 species
UAAGGGAAUUUCCAACCCCUCCCUAAGUUUGUACUUCCCUUUAUCAUAGAUGCUGACCAUCUGAGUUUCAUGACAAGAUAUGGUGCAAACAUCAGGAGCCCUUCCCCGUUUGGAAAUAGCCAUCCUUCCCCCCAGAUCAGAUGAGUCUGAGGUCUUGAGUUGGACAGAAUGCAUGAACACCAGGUACCUAUGGGAAGCCACUUUGGACAUAUCCAGUGAAAUAAUAUAAUUGGUAAAGCAGGAAUAGUACUCAGUCUUUAGUGUACUAGGACUAUGUGUGUGUGUGUGUGUGUAUAUAUAUAUAUAUAUAUAUAAAUAAUACUUCUUGAAUAACAAACA